CAGCUACCGGUGCCCAGUGAUGUCCCUGGGCAGGCACGCCGUGCUCGCCAUCACUGCAAGGAGCAAUGAGGACAUAGCCCGGGUCGGACAGCACCUCAGACGCUGCAUUACCUACAUCUGCUCUCUCGCUGAAAUGCAGGAGCAUGACAGCUUUGACGCUCCCCUCCAUGAGCAGAUGCUGCAAUCUCUGGACAGAGUGCUGCAAGUGAGGCUGCGUCUUUCGCCAGGCUUCGCCAACGUGGAGAUCAUCUUGCAGGCUCUGCUGCCCUGCACCAAGUCCAACAGGGUGAGAGUGCGCCGCUGUGCCGUGGAGAGGAUUGUCAGCCUGAGGAACCUCAUGGGCCCUGCUUUUCUGAUGGGGAGCUCGUCUCAAAACAGUGAAAGCAUGGCUGACAUUCGCCUCUUAAAAGAAAUGCCUGAUACGCUCAUGGGGCAGCUGUUGGGGCACCUCAUCCUAUGCUGUGCCGAGGAGGACGAGGACAUCAGGUGUGAGUCCACAGAGACAGUGCAAGCCAUCCACAGCAUCCUGGCAGCACGACUGGGU
ensembl:lncRNA